UGGUGCAAGUAAUGAAAUUAACAUCCAUUUUUUAAUUUAAUAAUUAGGGACCAAUUAUUAGCAAGUAUCUAACAAAUGAUUUAAUGAAAGCCGCUGAGAAAUGCACUCAGGUAAAUGAUACCAUACAAGCACAUACAGUGGAAUGUUUGUGGAGUCAUAAUAUGCCAUGUAUGGAGUUUAACAUCAGUUUCAGUAUAGAAAACUUGCUUCCCACGUGAUCUUGUAAAGCAAGGUACAAGGAGGAUGUUUCAGAGAAAUGGCUUGCAUAUAAUAAUGUCAAUAAUGUCCUCAUUCAUAUGACUUUUGGACUAUGGAAAAAUUAGAAGGGUUUAGCACGAGACAUAUUGACAUAUAAUGAAACUGAAAGAUCCAUAACAUGAGGGUAGUGCGUACGGCCCAGGACAUCACUGGGGCUAAUGUGCAGUCAUAAACUGUUCUCUCUACUACCGCAUGGCAAGGGGUACGGAGUGCCAAGUCUAGGACCAAAAGGACAGUUUUUACCCGCAAGCCAUAAGACACCUGAACAGAUCGGGACAUCGCUGACGAUUGCGUGGUCUGUCUAUCUGCUAGAGCUUCUGUGGUCCUUCCCUGCGCCCACCGCUGCCUGUGCCUUCGCUGCGCCCAGCGGGUCAAGGCCGACUUUGGAAACUGCCCGCUGUGUCGCCAGUCAAUCAGAUACAGCGACGAGGACAGGGGGAUAAAAAGUUGACCAACCGAUGGGGAAAGGAGGGAGAAAAGCAAAGAUGAUCUAAUCAGCAUUAUAUUAGUUCAUAAUAUUGUAAACAUUUCCCUUAUGUUCUUUUUUAUAUCAACUGUCUAUUUUUCAAAGUGACUUAUGUUAUAAUGUAGGCAUGUAUACUACAUGUAGGCAUGAAUACUUGAUGAAGAACGUCUCACUGUAGAUGUUUUAUUUGUCAAUGAAUCCAAAUGUAAAUAAAUGCACCCAAAAUGAAGACCGUUUCUCUUUUAUUUGAUAACUUUAAAUAAAUAGGCCUAGGGAAAUUACAGUCAGACAACUAUGUAGCCAACUGAAGAAAAAAAUAGUUCAUUCUCAAAAUGAAAGCAUAUCAAUAUUUCUGGUACUACAAACUCAGUUUCUAUACCAGGCUACAGCAGAGAUCUUGUGCAACUUCGGUUGCAAUAUGCAGUAGGUCAUGUCAGGAUGAGCCUGCAGGAAGGGUACCACAUGAGGGAGGAGGAUGUCUUCCCUGUAACACACAGUGUUGAGAUUGCCAGUGUUCUGCCAUGGCCAGUGAA
ensembl:lncRNA